rnacentral:rRNA from 1 species
GUGGGGAAUUUUGCGCAAUGGGGGAAACCCUGACGCAGCAACGCCGCGUGAGUGAUGAAGGCCUUCGGGUCGUAAAGCUCUGUCAGAGGGGAAGAAAUGCAGGGGUGCUAAUAUCAUCUUUGCUUGACGGUACCCUCAAAGGAAGCACCGGCUAACUCCGUGCCAGCAGCCGCGGUAAUACGGAGGGUGCGAGCGUUGUUCGGAAUUAUUGGGCGUAAAGCGCGUGUAGGCGGUUUGGUAAGUCUGAUGUGAAAGCCCCGGGCUCAACCUGGGAAGUGCAUUGGAAACUGUCAGACUUGAAUACGGGAGAGGGUAGUGGAAUUCCUAGUGUAGGAGUGAAAUCCGUAGAUAUUAGGAGGAACACCGGUGGCGAAGGCGGCUACCUGGACCGAUAUUGACGCUGAGACGCGAAAGCGUGGGGAUCAAACAGGAUUAGAAACCCGUGUAGUCC